rnacentral:rRNA from 1 species
UACCUGGUUGAUCCUGCCAGUGGUAUAUGCUUGUCUCAAGGACUAAGCCAUGCAAGUGCCAGUAUGAGUGUAACAAAUAACGAAACUGCGAAUGGCUCGGUAAAACAGCAAUAAUUUCUUCGGGGUUAAACUACUACUUGGAUAACCGUAGUAAUUCUAGAGCUAAUACGUGCUUCAAGGCGAUCUCCCAGAGAGUCUCGUUGUACAAAUUAGAUACAAAAGCCAAUUUAUUGGUGAUUCAUACUUUUUUUCUGAUCGUACCAUUUAUGGUGCGACGCCCCGUUCAAAUUUCUGACCUAUCAACUAUGAUGGUAAGGUAGUGUCUUACCAUGGUUGUGACGGGUAACGGACCGUGGGUGCGGGAUUCCGGAGAGGGAGCCUGAGAAACGGCUACCACAUCCAAGGAAGGCAGCAGGCGCGCAAAUUACCCACUCCUGACACAGGGAGGUAGUGACAAAAAAUAGCAAUAGAGGGCCCAAUGGGCUCUCUAAUUGGAAUGAGAACAACGUAAAUAACUUAUCGAGGAACCAACAGAGGGCAAGUCUGGUGCCAGCAGCCGCGGUAAUUCCAGCUCUGUAAGCGUAUACCAAAGUUGUUGCAGUUAAAACGCUCGUAGUCGGAUUUUGGCGGAAGCCGCAGGCCGUCCGCAAGGACGGACCUGGUUGGUUCUGACGCCUUUGUGGAGGGUGGCUCGUUGGUGCUUUAGUGCAUUGGCGGGUUGCUGCCACCGUUUACUGUGAAUAAAUUAGAGUGUUCAAAGCAAGCAUUUUUUGCCCUGAAUAUGUUAGCAUGGAAUAAUAGAAUAGGACCUGAGUCUUGUUUCUAUUGGUUUAUAAAGUUCAGGUAAUGAUUAAGAGGGACGGUCGGGGGCAUUUGUAUUUCGGCGCUAGAGGUGAAAUUCUUGGAUUGCCGAAAGACAAACAGCUGCGAAAGCGUCUGCCAAGGACGUUUUCAUUGAUCAAGAACGAAAGUAAGGGGAUCGAAGACGAUUAGAUACCGUCGUAGUCUUUACUAUAAACGAUGAGGACUGGGGAUCGGACGUGGCCAACUGGUACGUUCGGCACCCUCCGGGAAACCAAAGUUUUUGCUUUCUGGGGGGAGUAUGGUCGCAAGGCUGAAACUUAAAGGAAUUGACGGAAGGGCAUCACCGGGUGUGGAGCCUGCGGCUUAAUUUGACUCAACACGGGAAAACUUACCAGGACCAGACAUAGUGAGGAUUGACAGAUUGAGAGCUCUUUCUUGAUUUUAUGGUUGGUGGUGCAUGGCCGUUCUUAGUUGGUGGAGUGAUCUGUCUGGUUAAUUCCGUUAACGAGCGAGACCUGGGCGUGUUAGCUAGGCGCCGUUACCGUUCCGGUAGCGAGGUAGCCUACCUAGACGGACUGCAGUCGUCUAGUCUGUGGAAGCUCCAGGCAAUAACAGGUCUGAGAUGCCCUUAGAUGUUCUGGGCCGCACGCGUGCUACACUGAACGGAUCAACGGGUGAGGUAGUACGAAAGUACGACCUAAUCUCUAAAUCCGUUCGUGCUGGGGAUUGAGGCUUGCAAAUCUCCCUUAUGAACGAGGAAUACCUUGUAGGCACGGGUCAUCAUCCCGUGCCGAAUACGUCCCUGCCCUUUGUACACACCGCCCGUCGCUCCUACCGAUUGAGUGGUCCGGUGAGGCCUUGGGAGAGCUUGAUGGUUUGCGUUUUCGCCGACUGUCUUGUUCAAACUUGGUCAAACCUUAUCACUUAGAGGAAGGAGAAGUCGUAACAAGGUUUCCGUAGGUGAACCUGCGGAAGGAUCAUUCU